rnacentral:rRNA from 1 species
CCCUUAGAUGUUCUGGGCCGCACGCGCGCUACACUGAUGCAUUCAACGAGUUUUUCCUUGGCCGAGAGGCCUGGGCAAUCUUUUAAACGUGCAUCGUGAUAGGGAUAGAUUAUUGCAAUUAUUAAUCUUGAACGAGGAAUUCCUAGUAAACGCAGAUCAUCAAUCUGCAUUGAUUACGUCCCUGCCCUUUGUACACACCGCCCGUCGCACCUACCGAUUGAAUGUUUCGGUGAAGAUUCCGGAUAGGACUUUUUUGAUUUAUUUCAAUUUUGUCUUAAAAGCUAUCUAAACCUCAACAUUUAGAGGAAGGUGAAGUCGUAACA